rnacentral:rRNA from 1 species
AAAGACUUGACGGUGCCUCACACCAACCUAGAGGAGCCUGUCCACUAACCGAUACUCCACGAUUAACCUCACCCACUUUGGCCCCACAGUCUAUAUACCGCCGUCGCCAGCUUACCCUGUGAAGGAAAUAAAGUGAGCAAAACAGGACCCCCUAAUACGACAGGUCGAGGUGUAACUAAUAAGUGGGUAAAGGAUGGGCUACAUUUUCUACAAUAGAAUACACGGAUUAACCAUGAAACUAGAAACUUGAAGGUGGAUUUAGCAGUAUGCUGGGAAUAUAAAACCCAACAGAAACUAAAGCAAUGAGGCGCGCACACACCGCCCGUCAUCCCUG